rnacentral:lncRNA from 1 species
UGGGUGAGACUUACUUAUUAAUUAAUAUAUCUGUUUACAUGGAACAAAUAUACAAUUCUGACCUGUGGUAUAAAGUUUAAAGAAGCUGAUUUUUAUUUUCCCUCCUUUUAUUGAUUCAUCAGAGUCUACAUACAAUAUCUUUUGUUAUUGGUGCAAAUCUCAAAUGAUUUCCCCAUGAUUAACCAUUUGUUAUCAUAUUUACAAAUGUCUGAGAACAUUUUGUGCAUCAGGAUUCCGAAACAGUAUGUUGUUUCAAAAUUGAAUAUUCCAAGAAAAUACUAAUAGAUAUAAGAUAUGAUAUGAGUGUCAA